UACGAGGGGAGCAAGCGUUGUUCGGAUUUACUGGGCGUAAAGGGCGCGUAGGCGGUCGUGACAAGUCACUUGUGAAAUCUCCGGGCUUAACUCGGAACGGUCAAGUGAUACUGUCGGACUAGAGUACAGAAGGGGCAACUGGAAUUCUCGGUGUAGCGGUGAAAUGCGUAGAUAUCGAGAGGAACACCUGGCGGCGAAGGCGGGUUGCUGGGCUGAUACUGACGCUGAUGCGCGAAAGCCAGGGGAGCGAACGGG
rnacentral:rRNA from 1 species